CCCUGUUAUUCUAAAUAAAUAUAAUAUUUCAAAGGAAAACAAAAUAAAUUUGACGGUAUUAAUCUUUACAAAGGAAUUUGUUUCUUAAUCGACAACACACGAUUAACCUUACUUAACAAAUAUUUGUAUACCACCGUAUAUGAAAUUAUAUAAUAUUAAUUUCAAAAUAAAUAUUUCUAAAAAAUCAGGUCAAGGUGCAAUUUUAUUAAGACGAAAUGAAUUACAUUUUUCAUAUAAAAAUAUAUAAAUUGAAAUAAUUUAUAAAAAUAGAAUUUGUUAGUAAAACUUUAUCAUCAUGUUAAAUUGAAAAUAUCUAUUAAUAUGUACAUAUCGCCCG
rnacentral:rRNA from 1 species